UCCGGUUUGUCACCGGCAGUCCCAUUAGAGUGCUCAACUGAAUGUAGCAACUAAUGGCAAGGGUUGCGCUCGUUGCGGGACUUAACCCAACAUCUCACGACACGAGCUGACGACAGCCAUGCAGCACCUGUGAAGAUGCCCCGAAGGGAAGACCUGUUUCCAGGCCGGUCAUCCACAUGUCAAGCCCAGGUAAGGUUCUUCGCGUUGCGUCGAAUUAAACCACAUGCUCCACCGCUUGUGCGGGCCCCCGUCGAUUCCUCUGAGUUUUAAUCUUGCGAUCGUACUCCCCAGGCGGGGUGCUUAAUGCGUUAGCUUCGGCACGGACGGGGUUGAUAUCCGCCCACACCUAGCACCCAACGUUUACGGCUAGGACUAC
rnacentral:misc_RNA from 1 species